AGAGUUUGAUCCUGGCUCAGAACGAACGCUGGCGGCAGGCUUAACACAUGCAAGUCGAGCGGGCCCUUCGGGGUCAGCGGCGGACGGGUUAGUAACGCGUGGGAACGUGCCUUCUGCUCUGGAAUAGCCCUGGGAAACUGGGGGUAAUACCGGAUGUGCCCUGAGGGGGAAAGGUUUAUCUGGCAGGAGAUCGGCCCGCGUCUGAUUAGGUAGUUGGUGGGGUAAAGGCCUACCAAGCCUACGAUCGGUAGCUGGUUUGAGAGGAUGAUCAGCAACACUGGGACUGAGACACGGCCCAGACUCCUACGGGAGGCAGCAGUGGGGAAUCUUAGACAAUGGGGGCAACCCUGAUCUAGCCAUGCCGCGUGGGUGAUGAAGGCCUUAGGGUCGUAAAGCCCUUUCGCCGGGGAAGAUAAUGACGGUACCCGGUAAAGAAACCCCGGCUAACUCCGUGCCAGCAGCCGCGGUAAUACGGAGGGGGUUAGCGUUGUUCGGAAUGACUGGGCGUAAAGCGCGCGUAGGCGGAUCAGGAAGUUGGGGGUGAAAUCCCGGGGCUCAACCUCGGAAUGGCCUUCAAAACUCCUGGUCUUGAGUUCGAGAGAGGUGAGUGGAAUUCCGAGUGUAGAGGUGAAAUUCGUAGAUAUUCGGAGGAACACCAGUGGCGAAGGCGGCUCACUGGCUCGACACUGACGCUGAGGUGCGAAAGCGUGGGGAGAAACAGGAUUAGAUACCCUAGUAGUCC
rnacentral:rRNA from 1 species